AUACGUAGGGGGCGAGCGUUGUCCGGAAUGAUUGUGCGUAAAGGGCGCGUAGGCGGCCAUGCAAGUCUGGAGUGGAAGUCCAUCUUUCAAGGGUGGAAUUGCUUUGGAAACUGUGUGGCUGGAGUGCAGGAGAGGUUAUCGGAAUUCCCGGUGUAGCGGUGAAAUGCGUAGAGAUCGGGAGGAACAUCAGUGGCGAAGGCGGGUAACUGGACUGCAACUGACGCUGAGGCGCGAAAGUGUGGGGAGCAAACAGGAUUAGAUACCCUGGUAGUCCACACCGUAAACGAUGAAUGCUAGGUGUAGGUGGUAUCGACCCCAUCUGUGCCGGAGUAAACACAGUAAGCAUUCCGCCUGGGGAGUACGGUCGCAAGAUUAAA
rnacentral:rRNA from 1 species